rnacentral:rRNA from 1 species
AAAUUGAAGAGUUUGAUCAUGGCUCAGAUUGAACGCUGGCGGCAGGCCUAACACAUGCAAGUCGAACGGUAACAGGAAUCAGCUUGCUGAUUCGCUGACGAGUGGCGGACGGGUGAGUAAUGUCUGGGAAACUGCCUGAUGGAGGGGGAUAACUACUGGAAACGGUAGCUAAUACCGCAUAACGUCGCAAGACCAAAGAGGGGGACCUUCGGGCCUCUUGCCAUCGGAUGUGCCCAGAUGGGAUUAGCUAGUAGGUGG